AGUGAACGCUGGCGGUAGGCCUAACACAUGCAAGUCGAACGGCAGCACAGUAAGAGCUUGCUCUUACGGGUGGCGAGUGGCGGACGGGUGAGGAAUACAUCGGAAUCUACUUUUUCGUGGGGGAUAACGUAGGGAAACUUACGCUAAUACCGCAUACGACCUACGGGUGAAAGCAGGGGAUCUUCGGACCUUGCGCGAUUGAAUGAGCCGAUGUCGGAUUAGCUAGUUGGCUGGGUAAAGGCCCACCAAGGCGACGAUCCGUAGCUGGUCUGAGAGGAUGAUCAGCCACACUGGAACUGAGACACGGUCCAGACUCCUACGGGAGGCAGCAGUGGGGAAUAUUGGACAAUGGGCGCAAGCCUGAUCCAGCCAUACCGCGUGGGUGAAGAAGGCCUUCGGGUUGUAAAGCCCUUUUGCUGGGAAAGAAAAGCAGCAGGUUAAUACCCCGCUGUUCUGACGGUACCCAAAGAAUAAGCACCGGCUAACUUCGUG
rnacentral:rRNA from 1 species